CCUACGGGAGGCAGCAGUGAGGAAUAUUGGUCAAUGGGCGCGAGCCUGAACCAGCCAAGUAGCGUGAAGGAUGACUGCCCUACGGGUUUUAAACUCCUUUUUUAAAGGAAUAAAGUGAGGCACGUAUGCCUUUUUGUAUGUACUUUAUGAUUAAGGAUCGGCUAACUCCGUGCCAGCAGCCGCGGUAAUACGGAGGAGCCGAGCGUUAUCCGGAUUUAUUGGGUUUAAAGGGAGCGUAGUUGGGUUGUUAAGUCAGUUGUGAAAGUUUGCGGCUUAACCGUAAAAUUGCAAUUGAUACUGGCAUGCUAGAGUACAGUGGAGGUAGGCGGAAUUCGUGGUGUAGCGGUGAAAUGCGUAGAUAUCACGAAGAACACCGAUUGCGAAGGCAGCCUACUAAACUGCAACUGACGUUGAUGCUCGAAAGUGUGGGUAUCAAACAGGAUUAGAUACCCGGGUAGUC
rnacentral:rRNA from 1 species